GACGAACGCUGGCGGCGUGCUUAACACAUGCAAGUCGAACGGAAAGGCCCUGCUUUUGUGGGGUGCUCGAGUGGCGAACGGGUGAGUAACACGUGAGUAACCUGCCCUUGACUUUGGGAUAACUUCAGGAAACUGGGGCUAAUACCGGAUAGGAGCUCUUGCUGCAUGGUGGGGGUUGGAAAGUUUCGGCGGUUUGGGAUGGACUCGCGGCUUAUCAGCUUGUUGGUGGGGUAGUGGUUUACCAAGGCUUUGACGGGUAGCCGGCCUGAGAGGGUGACCGGCGACAUUGGGACUGAGAUACGGCCCAGACUCGUACGGGAGGCAGCAGUGGGGAAUAUUGCACAAUGGGCGGAAGCCUGAUGCAGCAACGCCGCGUGCGGGAUGACGGCCUUCGGGUUGUAAACCGCUUUCGCCUGUAACGAAGCGUGAGUGACGGUAAUGGGUAAAGAAGCACCGGCUAACUACGUG
rnacentral:rRNA from 1 species